AUUUUCCUCCUCCUCUCCUUCCUGUGCCCAGGAUGCAAACAGUCACCAGAAGCCCGGCUGGGUCAUGCGGGCAGCCUUUCGCUUCCUUGGAUUUUGCACGCAGCUUCACCAGACAGCAGACUGUGACCCUUUUCAUCAGACCAUGCUAGAAGGAAAGAAAGACUCUGAGCAGAAGGGGUGAGAUGAAGCAGUUCUGGCCGAAUCUUGAUAAUGAUUGGACCUGGGCAAUGAUUUCAUAAGAGCUUAUUGUGCUCAUCUCCCUACUACUAUGUAUGCUUGAAUAUUUGAAUAAUGAAAAUAAAACUUCUUUUUUUUUUUUCGAGAU
rnacentral:lncRNA from 10 species